GGCUCGUUGGUCUAGGGGUAUGAUUCUCGCUUUGGGUGCGAGAGGUUCAAAUCCCGGAUGAGCGA